CCAUGAAUAUUAAUUGGGUCAGAUCAGUUGUCGCCUUUGAACUUCUUCAGGGUCGCACUCGUCGUUUGGAUGUAAAAUGUUUUGUUGAGAGAAUAGCACAGUAUUAACCUUCUGUAGCAGCUGAGGGCAUGUAGGUAUCGGCAUUGAAUGGCUUUUAAGUAGAGUGGUAGAUAAUAACUUGGACCGUCCGAUAAAUAUGCCUGUUUAAAAUAGUACUGCGAAGGAAAAAAACUGGAAAUGUCCACUCGUGAAAGAUAAAAACAAGGAGAGUCCACUUGAACAAAAACAAAAAUUAACUAAUUAA
rnacentral:lncRNA from 1 species